AACGCACCUUGCGCUCCUUGGUAUUCCGAGGAGCAUGCCUGUUUGAGUGUCAUAAAACUCUCAACUCCUAAUGGUUUUUCGAAACUAUUAGUGAUGUUGGAUUUGAACGUUUUGCUGGCUUUAAUUAGUCGGCUCGUUCGAAAAGUAUUAGCUGGAUCCCUUUUCUUCUUGGUUCCACUCGGCGUGAUAAGUAUCUUCGUCGAGGACAGUUGACUUCGGUUGGUUGGCCAGGAUAAAUUGGUUGAACUGCUUCUAAUCCUUAAUACAAUUUAUUGUGUUAAACUUUUAUGCUCUGGCCUCAAAUCAGGUAGGAUUACCCGCUGAACUUAA
rnacentral:misc_RNA from 1 species